GAUGAACGCUGGCGGCGUGCCUAAUACAUGCAAGUCGAGCGAACAGAUGAGGAGCUUGCUCCUCUGACGUUAGCGGCGGACGGGUGAGUAACACGUGGAUAACCUACCUAUAAGACUGGGAUAACUUCGGGAAACCGGAGCUAAUACCGGAUAAUAUAUUGAACCGCAUGGUUCAAUAGUGAAAGACGGUUUUGCUGUCACUUAUAGAUGGAUCCGCGCCGCAUUAGCUAGUUGGUAAGGUAACGGCUUACCAAGGCAACGAUGCGUAGCCGACCUGAGAGGGUGAUCGGCCACACGGGAGCUGAGACACGGUCCAGACUCCUACGGGAGGCAGCAGUAGGGAAUCUUCCGCAAUGGGCGAAAGCCUGACGGAGCAACGCCGCGUGAGUGAUGAAGGUCUUCGGAUCGUAAAACUCUGUUAUUAGGGAAGAACAAAUGUGUAAGUAACUAUGCACGUCUUGACGGUGCCUAAUCAGAAAGCCACGGCUAACUACGUG
rnacentral:rRNA from 1 species